AUUGAACGCUGGCGGCAGGCCCAACGCAUGCAAGUCGAACGGAUCCUUCGGGAUUAGUGGCGGACGGGUGAGUAACACGUGGGAACGUGCCCUUUGGUUCGGAACAACUCAGGGAAACUUGAGCUAAUACCGGAUGUGCCCUUCGGGGGAAAGAUUUAUCGCCAUUGGAGCGGCCCGCGUCAGAUUAGCUAGUUGGUGAGGUAAAGGCUCACCAAGGCGACGAUCAGUAGCUGGUCUGAGAGGAUGAUCAGCCACAUUGGGACUGAGACACGGCCCAAACUCCUACGGGAGGCAGCAGUGGGGAAUCUUGCGCAAUGGGCGAAAGCCUGACGCAGCCAUGCCGCGUGAAUGAUGAAGGUCUUAGGAUUGUAAAAUUCUUUCACCGGGGACGAUAAUGACGGUACCCGGAGAAGAAGCCCCGGCUAACUUCGUGCCAGCCGCCGCAGUAAAAC
rnacentral:rRNA from 1 species